rnacentral:rRNA from 1 species
CCUACGGGUGGCUGCAGUGGGGAAUAUUGCACAAUGGGCGCAAGCCUGAUGCAGCCAUGCCGCGUGUGUGAAGAAGGCAUUCGGGUUGUAAAGCACUUUCAGCGGGGAGGAAGGCGGUGAGGUUAAUAACCUCAUCGAUUGACGUUACCCGCAGAAGAAGCACCGGCUAACUCCGUGCCAGCAGCCGCGGUAAUACGGAGGGUGCAAGCGUUAAUCGGAAUUACUGGGCGUAAAGCGCACGCAGGCGGUCUGUCAAGUCGGAUGUGAAAUCCCCGGGCUCAACCUGGGAACUGCAUUCGAAACUGGCAGGCUAGAGUCUUGUAGAGGGGGGUAGAAUUCCAGGUGUAGCGGUGAAAUGCGUAGAGAUCUGGAGGAAUACCGGUGGCGAAGGCGGCCCCCUGGACAAAGACUGACGCUCAGGUGCGAAAGCGUGGGGAGCAAACAGGAUUAGAUACCCUUGUAGUC